AUUCUGGAGAUUAAUAAGUCUUCAAGAUCAUCCCUGCUGUGGUGGAUGGAGAGUUUCUACCCAAGCAUCCUCAGGAGCUGCUGGCCUCUGCUGAUUUUCACCGUGUCCCCAGCAUCAUUGGUGUCAACAAUGAUGAGUAUGGUUGGAUUCUUCCUACGACCAUGGACUCAGAUCA